ensembl:lncRNA
AAAAGGACUGAUAAGAACGUGUCUCCACAAGGACAAGGCUUUAUGACUUCUAACACAACACUGCUGGGGCAUCUGGGAGACGGGAAUACUCAUUAAAUUCUCAGUUUGGUUCAGGGGAAUUCCUGAAGAAAAAUCUCGAAGAAAAAGGUUUUAGUACAUAAAAAGCAGAAACGGACACACCAGAUGGGGCAGAAGGGGGCAGUGUGGUGCAGGUGUUUGCUGCACAGGUAGAUGCUGCAGGUUAAGAAUCAGGUUUCACCAAACCUCUAUAACAUUUUGUCAUUGUGCUGUGACAUGAGGAUGAGCUACAGUUGGAGUUUUAUCAGCCU